GUGGGGGUAUAGCUCAGUUGUUAGAGUGCUUGUCUAGCAUGCAUAAGGCCCUGGGUUCAAUCCUCAGCACCACA
rnacentral:tRNA from 1 species